ensembl:lncRNA
CACAUCACCAUGGAUGGAGUCUAGUUUCACCCUGGCUGUCCUACUCUACUCACGUGAAUCAGCUUCCAGACCCAUCCGGCUGUUACUCAACGACGGGCAAGGUCUUGCCUUUCCCAUUGGAGUUGGUUCCAGCCUUGCCUCCAUCCCCACAAGGCUUGUGUGAGAAGGCGCCCCUCCUAGCCAGCCCCCUCCUGCCUCUGUUCCAGUCCCAACCAUGCGCAGUUGGCCCCCCAGUACCUAGUUGUACAUUCUAGUUCUGGGUCCUUCCAGUUGUGGCAUGUGGAAUGCCACCUCAGCAUGACCUGAUGAGCAGUACCAUGUCCACGCCCAGGAAUCGAACCAGCGAAACUCGAAGCUGCCGAAGCGGAGUGUGGGAACUUAACCACUCGGCCACGGGGCCUGCCCCCAUCACCUUUCUUGAUCCCUUUCCUGUAAGCUGAGGAGAAAUCUUAAGCAACCAGGCAUAGACUUCUCAGCAUCUAGAACGGCGAGAAUGAAUGCUGUUUAAGCCACCCAGUCUAUGGCAUUCUGGUAUGGCAGCUGGAACUGACUCAGACAGGGGCCAAUUGAACAAAAGAGCCUGGAGUGUGAAAGGUUCUGAGGCUGAAGACCAAGCAGGGAGCCUGUGAAGGGGCUGAGGACACCCAGAGAAGGGGCCCACCGAGGAAGGCAGAGCUAGAGAGGGCCCUGCUGCUGAGCAAAUGAGGCGGCCGAGGACCUUCAGAGGAGCCACGCAGAAUCAGAAUGGGGGUUUGGUUUUUCUACAACGUUGUUUCAGUUGGACCUAAAACAAAAAUAUUAACAUAAGCUCAGCUUCCAAAAUCACCAUGUUCCUCUGGUGAAAACUUGGAAAAGAGGUGGAAAAAUUACUUAGGGGACACUGUAGAAAGAUCCUUCCUCUAACUCAGAGUCUAAGAAGGGGUUCAUCCUUUUCGAAGCCCUUGAAAACCAUCAGCUCAUUGAUAGGCACCUUUUGCAGCUCCUGGAAUAGAGGUUGCAUACAAGGCCCUUUCACACGAUGCCUGAACUACGGGGACAUCUUCCACGUACCGUCUUGUCCCUCUGAUCUGCAUCUCAAUCCUAUGGUCUUUCCAGGAAAUCCCUCCCUGAGCUGGGAGUGCAGUGAUAAAUAAAACAAUGUCUGAGACUGGACCUCGCCAGACAACCCAGAAUGUAUUGUCACCAUGCCAUGGGUGAACACGGAUGUUGACCUCCACACACACACAGAAGAAAGUGAUUGAUGUAAAAGCAAUGAUGGCAGUCUUAGGAAUUUUCUCCUGCUGCUGAGUGGCACCAGAGAAGGAAUGAUGCUGAGAUGACCCUUCACAUUUAUUUACUGUGGUUUCAUUUUUCUCAACACUGAAAAGAAUGCCACUUCUUAUGGGCAGUCUUCUCAUGUGGUACCCUAAGUCAAGGUGACAACGAAACUGAAACAAGUGAGUGUGUUUGCUUUCCGAUUAUCCACGUGGGUCGUUUUGUCUUGACGAAACUUCCAAUGACGAAUGGUUAUACAUAGACCUUUAACUCCUGCUGACCACAAAUCUCUAAAGAUGGCACAAUUUUUCUUUUUUUCCUUCCUACGAUCUCUCUUUCCUUCAUUUGAAUUUGCUAAGAGCUGAUCUGAGGCAUAGGUGAGCAUGUAGCACUCAUUUAAAAACAGAAGUGGAAGAAAGAAUAAGAAAAUUAUUUUGUAUCUGAUGAUGAUUUUAGGCUGGUUAAUUUUAAAACUGCAGAUGAGAAGCAGGCUCCAAGGACUGGAGUUUGCUUGCCCUUUGUUGGGAAACAUUUACAUUUGUAGCGAAACCUCCAUCUGUAAAGAUGCCUCCCUCUCUGUGCCAGGAAGAAGGGGGAUGGCCUUAUCUCUAGAAACUCUUAAUGGGGAAGGAAAGAACUUAAGUUGGUUACUGUCUGGCAACCUCAUGUAACUGAUUUAGGGUGGUGGCUUCUGGCCUUUACUUAAUCCGAUUUGAUUCUUAUCUAAAAGUUGUGGGACCACCCAAUGGCCAGACCCCAUCUGCACUGAUACCAUUUUAACUGUUUUACAUGUUCUUUCCUUUGUCUUGUAAAGAGAUGGCUCACAUACCUAUGCCUUAAAUUUAGCCUUACUCUCCACCCAUGUUUGCAGCAGUGGCGGGGGCAGCAGCAGCGGCUCCUCCUGCCCGUGGGUCCUGUCCCCACACAGCAGCCUGACUGCCCAUGGGUCCUGUCCCCAUGCUAUUCCACACUAUUCUCUAAAUAAAAGAGCACUACUGCCAGA